AUUGAACGCUGGCGGCAUGCCUUACAUAUGCAAGUCGAACGGUAACAGGUCUUCGGAUGCUGACGAGUGGCGAACGGGUGAGUAAUACAUCGGAACGUGCCCGAUCGUGGGGGAUAACGAGGCGAAAGCUUUGCUAAUACCGCAUACGAUCUACGGAUGAAAGCGGGGGAUCUUCGGACCUCGCGCGGACGGAGCGGCCGAUGGCAGAUUAGGUAGUUGGUGGGAUAAAAGCUUACCAAGCCGACGAUCUGUAGCUGGUCUGAGAGGAUGAUCAGCCACACUGUGACUGAGACACGGCCCAGACUCCUACGGGAGGCAGCAGUGGGGAAUUUUGGACAAUGGGCGAAAGCCUGAUCCAGCCAUGCCGCGUGCAGGAUGAAGGCCUUCGGGUUGUAAACUGCUUUUGUACGGAACGAAAAGCCUCUUUCUAAUAAAGAGGGGUCAUGACGGUACCGUAAGAAUAAGCACCGGCUAACUACGUG
rnacentral:rRNA from 1 species